AUUGAACGCUGGCGGCAGGCCUAACACAUGCAAGUCGAGCGAGCGGCGGACGGGUGAGUAAUGUGUGGGAAACUGCCUGAUGGAGGGGGAGAACUACUGGAAACGGUAGCUAAUACCGAAUAUCAUCAGAUGUGCCCAGAUGGGAUUAGAGAGUAGGUGGGGUAAUGGCUGACCUAGGCGACGAUCCCUAGCUGGUCUGAGAGGAUGACCAGCCACACUGGAACUGAGACACGGUCCAGACUCCUACGUGAGGCAGCAGUGGGGAAUAUUGCACAAUGGGCGCAAGCCUGAUGCAGCCAUGCCGCGUGUGUGAAGAAGGCCUUCGGGUUGUAAAGCACUUUCAGCGGGGAGGCGUUACCCGCUGAAAAAGCAACGGCUAACUCCGUGCCAGCAGCCGCGGUAAUAC
rnacentral:rRNA from 1 species